UCCACUGUUGCGUUUUUCACACGUACGUAUACGCACGUAAAACAUUAAAUCCGUUUAAAUGUUACUUAUGAAAUAACCACAUAAAUAAAGCAACAUAAUUUAGUGUUCCGCAAGUUUUAGUAUGCAUUUGUUAACUUAUUUGUAAAAUAUUUAAAAAAUAGAAGGAUUCAAAGUUUUACGUGCGUGUACGUGCGUACGAAAAACGCAACAGUGGA
rnacentral:miRNA from 1 species